GGGGAUGUAGCUCAAAUGGUAGAGCGCUCGCUUAGCAUGCGAGAGGUACCGCGAUCGAUGCGCGGCUUCUCCA